ensembl:lncRNA
CAAAACAUAACAAAACAUAACAAAACAAAACUAUACAUGACUGUACAAAAAUGUACAGAACAAAUUAAAAAUAUUUUUACUAAAGUAAAAAAUAUAUACACAUUAGCUAAAACAUGUCAGAGAAUAUUAGUUAUUACUUUGACACUAAUGAUUCCAAAUGGUGGUCUUAUGAUGAAGAGAGUGGGAUUUGGAAUGAAUGGAAAGAUGAAGAGAGUAGUGAAGAAGCAAAUUUCGAAUGUAAUAAUGCAUUUAAUGAAGAGAUAACUGAUAAAGAUUAUGAAAGUGUUAUAAAAAAUUUUGAAGAUGAUGAAGAUGAUGAAAAGGAUGAAAAUGCUGGUGAUGAAGAUGAUGACAGUGGUGAUUAUGGUGGUGAUGAUGAUGAUGAUGGUGUAAAAAAUGAAGAUAAUAUUGAGGCUGCAUAUGAUUAUUAUGAUUAUUCAGAUCCUUAUAAUGAAUACUACAAUAUUAAUAACGAUGAAUAUAAUUCAAUAAAUAAUUAUAAUUUAAGUAAAAAUAAAACAGAGAAUGUAAACAAUGAUAAUUAUAAUACGAAUUCAUCAGAUAAAUAUUUAAAAGUUUACGAUAUAAAUAAAAAUAAUAAUAAUUCAGAAAAUAAUUCAGAACAUUAUUAUGAAAACAUAGGUGAUAAUGAAGUUAGUCAAUCUUAUAAUAUAUAUGAUGAUAUAAAAGAAAAAUAUGAUCAUAUGUGUGAUUACCCAUCAGAAAUAGAUGAAAGUGCAUAUAAUAAUAUUAAUUACAAUGAAGAUGAUACUAAAGAAAACCAUACAGAUUAUAACGAAGAAAAUAAUUCUUAUUAUUACAAUGAAGAAGUUACAAAUAACAAUAACAACAAUAAUAAUAAUGAAGAAGAAGAAGAAUAUUCAUCAUAUAUGAAUGAUCAAUAUGUUUAUAAUUAUGAAGAGAAACAAGAGGAAGAUGGUGUACAAGAGGUGAUUCCGCAAGAAGCAGCUGAAACAAUACACAAUGAACAAAUGGUAGAGAAACAAAUGGUAGAGAAACAAAUGGUAGAGGAACAAAUGGUAGAGGAACAAGAAAAAGCAAAAGAUGAGAAAAAAAUAAAUGAUACAGAUAACAAUGAUAGCACAAAAAAAGCUUGCAGAUAUGCACUUCCCACAAAUUCACAUUCAAUUAGUGAAAGAAUAGAAAGAUUAAUGAGCCAUUCUAGUACUAAUAGUUCAGUUUUAAGCAAAAGUAAUUCCCAAAAAUUAGAUAGUUUAAUACAACAUAGCUUUAGUAAACCUGAUCAUUCAAAUAGUAUGAACACAUCAGAAAAUGAAAAAAAAAAUGUUGGUACUGGUAAUAUUAACAAUAAUGACAGAGAAUAUGUAAUAGUUAAAAAUAAUGACACAAAUAUAGAAAUAAAAGGAUUAGAAACAAAAGAAAACAAAAAUAAUACAGAAUCGGAUAAUGAAUUUAGUGAUACUCUUACUGAUGAUAAUGUUUCAUCAUACGUUCCAUUCGUUAGGAGAACUACAAGAACAUUAACAUUCAAAGGAGCAGGAGGUUUAAACGGAUGUCUACGAAUUUACCAAAAAAAGAAGAACGAACUGCUAGAAGCAUCAGGAUCUAAAGAAAUAAAUGAUAUAGAAAUAAGAAUGGCUAAUUUUAGGAGAAGAGCAAGAGAGCUAGCAAAAAAAUAUAGACAAAAAAAUGAAACAGAAGAAGAUACUAAAGAUAAUAAGGAAGAUGGUAAGGAAGAUACUAAUAAACCAAAAAUGAAAUUCGAAGAUAUAGUUUUCCAGUUACAAAAGAAUAAGCUAGAUGAUAAAAAAUAAGAAUAAAAGAAAAUGACCUGAUGGGAGCGCA